UGGGGGAUCUUCCGCAAUGGACGAAAGUCUGACGGAGCAACGCCGCGUGAGUGAUGACGGCCUUCGGGUUGUAAAGCUCUGUUAAUCGGGACGAAAGGCCUUCUUGCGAAUAGUGAGAAGGAUUGACGGUACCGGAAUAGAAAGCCACGGCUAACUACGUGCCAGCAGCCGCGGUAAUACGUAGGUGGCAAGCGUUGUCCGGAAUUAUUGGGCGUAAAGCGCGCGCAGGCGGAUAGGUCAGUCUGUCUUAAAAGUUCGGGGCUUAACCCCGUGAUGGGAUGGAAACUGCCAAUCUAGAGUAUCGGAGAGGAAAGUGGAAUUCCUAGUGUAGCGGUGAAAUGCGUAGAUAUUAGGAAGAACACCAGUGGCGAAGGCGACUUUCUGGACGAAAACUGACGCUGAGGCGCGAAAGCCAGGGGAGCGAACGGGAUUAGAUACCCCGGUAGUCCUGGCCGUAAACGAUGGGUACUAGGUGUAGGAGGUAUCGACCCCUUCUGUGCCGGAGUUAACGCAAUAAGUACCCCGCCUGGGGAGUACGACCGCAAGGUUG
rnacentral:rRNA from 1 species